GGAAGGAUCAUUAACACGUAUCCAACGUUUAUCAACCAACCGUGAACUUGUUUUCAACCUUCUCCCUGGAAGUAAAAAGGCGCUCCGGCGUCAGAAUAAUCCUUCCAGGCUACCCCCGAUUAACAAACACUUAUCACCUACAUUUUUGCUAGUUGACUUUUUAUAACUGUGCUCUGGCUCUUUGCAGUCUUUGCGCACGUUUAAACAUCAUAUUUAAACGUUAAAAAAUACAACUCUUAGCAAUGGAUAUCUUGGUUCUCGCAACGAUGAAGAACGCAGCGAAAUGCGAUACGUAAUGCGAAUUGCAGAAUUCAGUGAAUCAUCAAAUCUUUGAACGCAAAUUGCGCUCUUGGGUAGCCCUAGGAGCACGCCUCUCUCAGUAUCGGUUCAACCUUCUCUCAGCAGCGUUUUUGAGUGCAUGUAAUGUGUGCUCUUGGCGUGUUGGCUGGAUAAUGAGAGUCUGAGCUAUUCUUUUUUAUAGCUUAGUCUCUUGAAGCACAUGGAGUGAACAUAUGACUACCGAUCAGCUCUGGCCUUUCGAGGCUGGAUAGUCUGCUCUCAGACGGUGCUGCUGUGGAUAGUAACGUGAAUACUAGAUCCUUCGCGGUCUUUUUAUCAUUCUACGUUUCAUCUAUUCUGCAGAUUCAUGGCAUCGAGACGCAGGUGAACGAUCGUGUGGGUGGAAUGUCUUUUCACGUGGGAACACCAUAUGAUUUCUAUUAUUGAUUUAAUUAAGGAUAGAAUCUGAAUAUUGAUCUGAGAUGAAGCGAGACAACCCCCUGAAUUUAAGCAUAUUAAUAAGGGGAGGAAAAGAAACUAACAAGGAUUCCCUCAGUAACGGCGAGUGAAGCGGGAAGAGCUCAAUUUGAAAAUCGAUGAUCCAAGCGGGUCCUCGAGUUGUAGCCUAUGGACGUACUAUCAGCUGGAACCUGGGUAUAAGUUCUUUGGAAUGAGGCAUCAUAGAGGGUGAGAAUCCCGUAUAUGACCCAAAGCUUUCAGCGUACGAUGUAUGUUCCUCGAGUCGAGUUGUUUGGGAUUGCAGCUCUAAAUGGGUGGUAAGUUUCAUCUAAAGCUAAAUAAUGGCGAGAGACCGAUAGCGAACAAGUACCGUGAGGGAAAGAUGAAAAGAACUUUGAAAAGAGAGUUAAAAGUACUUGAAAUUGCUAAGAGGGAAGCGCUGACAACCAGUCAUAUGCUGUGUCAAUCGCUAUUCGCUCUGUGCGCAGUGCGUGUCGUCGUGCGCAAGCCGGCGGUCGCGUAUUCGCGUGCGGUGCGAGUGGUUUAUGAUGCAGCGUCAGUCAAGAUCAAUUCGGACGGUGGGAGAAGGUGUGGAGGAAGGUAGGUGCGCUUCGGCUCACUGUUAUAGCCUCUGCACUCUACCUCUGUCUGGAUUGAGGCAGUAAUGGUGCGCCUGCUUGCGGGCUUGCCCUCGCUCUUCCUGUGGUUCCACGGUCUCUGCUAGCAAUGCUAUCUGCGGCCCGAAGACUCCAUACUGGGGGGCGUGUGGCGAUGUGCCAUCACGAUCUUGUACGAAAUGGUUGUCAUCGACCCGUCUUGAAACACGGACCAAGGAGUCUAACAUCUAUGCGAGUAUUUGGGUGACAAAACCCGAGUGCGGAAUGAAAGUAAAGGCAGGCUUGUUCCUGCUGAGGUAGGAAUCUCGGCUCCGGCCGCGAGGCACUAUCGACCGAUCAUCACUUGUGAAAGAUUUGAGUAAGAGCAUAUCUGUUGGGACCCGAAAGAUGGUGAUCUAUGCCUGAACAGGGUGAAGCCAGGGGAAACUCUGGUGGAGGCUCGUAGCGAUACUGACGUGCAAAUCGUUCGUCUGAUUUGGGUAUAGGGGCGAAAGACUAAUCGAACCAUCUAGUAGCUGGUUCCCUC
rnacentral:misc_RNA from 1 species